rnacentral:tRNA from 1 species
GGGCUCAUCGUCUAGUUGGAUAGGACAGGUGCCUUCUAAGCAUCUAACGUAGGUUCAAAUCCUACUGAGCUCG